rnacentral:lncRNA from 1 species
GUACACAACGAACAAUUUUCAGGUUUAGAGUAACGACAGUCAAAAGGAACAGGUUAUCGGAAAGAUGAGAAGCAUAAAAAGGUGGAAAAAAAAAGACACUACAUCUAAGAUAUGAGAAUGGGAAAUAUCAAAUAUCAAAUAUUUUUCACUCAAUUAAAUCAUCAUGAAAAAUUUUACAAGGUUUGAUCCCUCCAACAAUACCAUGAUAAAAUCAUCCCAUGGAAUAUCAACAUGACGCAACACUCCUGUAUCCAGGGAUGUAGUCAGAAACACAAAAUUGCACCAUAUAUCCCUAAAAUGCUAUGUUAAAUACUCCAGUCAAUAACCACGGAUGAUUUGAUUUUCAGUCUUCAAUCUUUGUCUUUUUCCAGAUGGAAGAACGCAAUAUAUCUAAUCUUGGAUAUCCCAGUUUACCUUGAUAAGCAUUCAAUACCUCAGGAGCUAGCUCCUGCUCCUGGUAGUUUGUAACGUACCUCUUCUCAAACGUCUUCUUCCCUGCUACCAACACUGUCAUCAAAUUCAAAUCCUUUCCAGUUAAGCCCUUUAGUAGCAACACUUCCAAAACUGAACAUCUAGGAAUAAUCCUCUUCUCCAAACUAACUAACAUCAGGUUUGGAUGUUUAGCAAUAUCAGAUGCUUUAAAACCCAACUCAUUCAUAUAGAAUUCCAUCAUUUUUCUAAUUUUCUUCUCUGAAGUAAGCAUAUAUUGAGGUUGCAAUUUAAAAGCAGAGAUAACAUCCUUGUCAGACAAUCCAAAGCUCUUAUAAACCUCAAAUUUGUUUUCCCAAUUCAUUUUUGUCAUCGCACCCAUCACACUAACAGCAUGGACGAAAGAUAUCUUGCGGGGAUCAAAACCCAUUUCCUCAACCGCUCUAACAAUCUCUUUAAACCGAUCAUUAUCCUGUGUAACUGCCUUAAGCUGCAGCAUAAACAAUUUUGGAAUAUACGGCUCCAACACACCAUGAUCUCGUAAAACUGCUAUGUUAGGCUCCAAUAUACGAUAACAAUGGGAAUUGAAAAACCUACUAUGCCUUUUGAGAGCAGCAAUGAUAUUUUCUUGAGUGUGUAAAAAACUCUUUAAGACAUUAAAAGUAGGUAUUAUUUGGUUUUCUAAGCUUCUUCGCAGAAGAUAUGUACAUGGACCAACUAUUUUGGCAACAUCUGGUUUCGACAAACCCAAAGAGGACUCAAAAUACUCAAAUUUGGGUUUAAGUGUUUUAACAGGAUCAGCUAGAAUCAAUCUUGGACACUUGGUGAUAACAUUUGCAAUCUGGGUUUGAGUAAAUCCAUAUGUUUUGAAAAGCUCAAGAACUGAGUCUAGUUUAUCUGUAGUUUCAAUUUUGCGGAUUUUUUUAGAAGUUGAAAUAGCAGAAUCUAAAGACAACCCACAUUUCUCUACAAGAUAAGAAACUGUGGGUGAUUGUUGGUUUAUUGAAUUUGAACAAAAUUUGAAAGAUUGAGUUUGAAAAAAAAUCUCACUUUUAUUACUACUUAAUAGCAAUUGUUUGCAAUAUAAACGAAACAUUAGAAUGACAUAGAAGUUCAAUUACAAACUUACCUGGUUUGAUUGGAGACAAAACUGUGGAUUUGAACAAGAGAGAGAGAGAGAGAGAGAGAGAUGGGUUUGCUGAAGAACCCUAGAUAUAUCAAAUAUGUUGGGUCUAAACUUAAAAAUAUUUUUUAUGUGAGGACCGACUUGGAGAGAAAAUAUUGGUUGAGGGUGUCCAGGGGAAAUAUCAUUUUAUUUUUUUAACCCUUGGGUUUGCUCAUUCUUCUGUUCUUUUUCAAUGGUGGCUAGAAAGUUAAGCCCUGCAGGCACUGGUAAAUCUAAAGUUUACAGGCAUACAAGUCCAGACAGGCUUGACUUCUCUUCAACUUUGUCGUACUCUUGCUUGCUUAUGUAAGAACUUGUAAAUACCAAUUCAUGGCCGAUAGAGUCUACUGUACUCGAGGACAUUUUUUUUUUUGCAGUCUACUGUACUAGAGGCUACUGCCCGUCGGUCCUCCUAUACUGAUGAGGAACCUGGCAACCAGCAAUCCCAGCAACAAACUUUAAUUGCUAUCUUUACAACCUCUCCAACUCAUUACUCUUUAGUCUUAACCAAUCUGCCAGAAAUAGAUUCAUUGGGAGUCGCAAAGAUUACUACUAAUCUGUACAUGGUUAAUUUGGCUUUCGGUUUUGUGUUGUGAUUUUCUCUUUUGGCGAUAUGACACUGUUUCCUCUCUUGUUACCUGUACUCUAUAAAUUACCCCAACCUACCUUACAUAGAAGUAAAAUCACAUUUUACCAUAUAUAUACACAAUGAACAAUUUUCAAGUAAGGAACAGAUUGAUCUGAAAGAUGAAAGCAUAAAAUAGUGUACAUCUCAGAUACGAGAAUGGGAAAUCCCCAGUUAUUUUUCAUUCAAUUGGAUCAUCAUGAAAAAUUUACAAGGUUUGAUAUCUCCAAAAAAACCUUGAUAAAAUCAUCAUAUGGAAUAUCAACAUGAUGCAAUACUACUGUAUCCAGGGAUGGAACUGAUCACACCCUAUCAUAAACAAAAGUACAUCAUAAAUCCCUAAAAUGUUGUAUCAAAUACUUUCAGCCAAUAACUAUUAAUGAAUUUUGAUUUUCAUUCGUGAAGAAACAUCUUUAUUGUCAGUCUUCUUCUUUUUCCUGUUGAAAGAACGCAAUAUGUCUAAUCUUGGAUAUCCCAAUUCACCUUGAUAAGCCUUCAAUACCUCAGGCGUUAGCUCCUGGUACUUUUCAACAUACCUCUUCUCAAACGGCUUCUUCAUUGUUGUUAGCGCUGUCAUCAAAUUCAAAUCCUUUCCAGCUAGACCCUUUAGUAACAACACUUGCAAAACUGAACAUCUAGGAAUAAUCCUCUUCUCCAAACUAGAUAACAUCAUGUUUGGAUGUUUAGCAAUAUCAGAUGCUUUGAAACCCAAUCCAGUGGUAUAGAAUGCCAUCAUUUUUUUGAUUUUCUUCUCCGAAGUAAGCAUAAAAUGAGGUUGCAAUUUAAAAGCUGGGAUAACAUCCUCCUCAGAUAAUCCAAAGCUCCUAUAAACCUCAAUUUUGUUUUCCCAAUUCAUUUUCGUUAUAGCACCCAUCACACUAACAGCAUGUACGAAAGAUUGCGUGCGGGGAUCAAAACCCAUUUCCUCAACAGUUCUAACAAUCUCUUUAAACCGAUCAUUAUCCUGUGUAACUGCCUUAAGUUGCAGCAUAAACAAUUUUGGAAUAUACGGCUCCAACACACCAUGAUUUCGCAAAACUUGUAUGUUAGGUUCCAAUAUACGAUAACAAUGGGAAUUGAAAACACUACUGUGCCUUUUGAGAGCAGCAAUAAUACUUUCUUUAGUGUGUAAAAAACUCUUUAAGACAUUAAAUGUAGGUAUUAUCUGGUUUUCUAAGCUUCUCUGCAGAAGAUAUAUACAUGGACUAACAAUGUUGGCAACAUCUGGUUUCGACAAACCCAAAGAUGACUCGAAAAACUCAAAUUUGGGUUUAAGUGUUUUAACAGGAUCAGCUAGAAUCAAUUUUGGACACUUGGUGAUAACAUUUGCAAUCUGGGUUUGAGUAAAUCCAUAUGUUUUGAAAAGCUCAAGAACUGAGUCUAGUUUAUCUGUAGUUUCAAUUUUGCGGAUUUUUUUAGAAGUUGAAAUAGCAGAAUCUAAAGACAACCCACAUUUCUCUACAAGAUAAGAAACUGUGGGUGAUUGUUGGUUUAUUGAAUUUGAACAAAAUUUGAAAGAUUGAGUUUGAAGAAAAGUGUAAUUUUCAAGACUAUUGAAUAGCAAUUUCUUGCAGAACAAACGAGACAUUAGAAUGAAAUAAAAUGAAUUAAAGGUUCAAAUACAAACUUACCAGGUUUGAUUUGAGAGAGAAGAACUGUGGAUUUGAAUAAGAGAGAGAGAGAGAGAGUAGGGUUUGCUGAAGAACCCUAGAAACAACGGGAACAGAAUAAAUAUACUUCUGGGAGUGGAAAUGCUAUAUACUUAUCGAGGGUCUAAAUUUUAAAAUUAUUAUAAUUGAGGACCGAUUUGGAGAAAAAACAUUGGUUGAGGGUGUUUACUGAGAAUCAGAAAACAUUGUUCAUAGUUUCCAACAUUC